rnacentral:rRNA from 1 species
GUAGGUGGCGAGCGUUAUCCGGAAUUAUUGGGCGUAAAGAGGGAGCAGGCGGCACUAAGGGUCUGUGGUGAAAGAUCGAAGCUUAACUUCGGUAAGCCAUGGAAACCGUAGAGCUAGAGUGUGUGAGAGGAUCGUGGAAUUCCAUGUGUAGCGGUGAAAUGCGUAGAUAUAUGGAGGAACACCAGUGGCGAAGGCGACGAUCUGGCGCAUAACUGACGCUCAGUCCCGAAAGCGUGGGGAGCAAAUAGGAUUAGAUACCCUAGUAGUCCACGCCGUAAACGAUGAGUACUAAGUGUUGGGGGUCAAACCUCAGUGCUGCAGUUAACGCAAUAAGUACUCCGCCUGAGUAGUACGUUCGCAAGAAUG